UAAGGAAUAUUGGUCAAUGGAGGGAACUCUGAACCAGCCAUGCCGCGUGCAGGAAGACAGCCCUCCGGGUCGUAAACUGCCUUUAUUCGGGAAUAAACCUAUCUACGUGUAGAUAGCUGAAUGUACCGAAGGAAUAAGGAUCGGCCAACUCCGUGCCAGCAGCCGCGGUAAUACGGAGGAUCCAAGCGUUAUCCGGAUUUAUUGGGUUUAAAGGGUGCGCAGGCGGCUUAUUAAGUCAGGGGUGAAAGACGGUGGCUCAACCAGCGCAGUGCCCUUGAUACUGAUGAGCUUGAAUACACUGGGGGUAGGCGGAAUGUGACGAGUAGCGGUGAAAUGCAUAGGAUUGUGAGAGAACACCGAUUGCGAAGGCAGCUUACUAUGGUGUGAUUGACGCUAAGGCACGAAAGCGUGGGGAUCAAAC
rnacentral:rRNA from 1 species